rnacentral:lncRNA from 1 species
AAAUAUUAGAAUUAGGGAUUACACUUUUCCAGCUUCAAGUGGCAACCAAAAAUAAAAGGUACAGUGCUUAACGUAGAAUUCAUUACAAACCGAAAUUUAAAUUCAAGUUGUUCAAGUACAUUCAUAGGAAAUAUAAGCUGCUCAAAUGCUUUCAAACUUCCCAUCCUGUAAGGAAAACAAAUAAACGUGGGGUGAGCUAAAGCUCAGUGGUGCCCCAAAACAUGCAGUCACGUAAAUCAAACAGCGAGAAAUAACUUAAACAAAUUGAACAGUUAGGAAAGCGUAUAACAGCACAAGGUAGGAUACAGGGGCUCUCAGGAGCCAUUUUCCUCGCUUGAUCACCAUUCAGCGUAGUUGACCCUCCGUCAACUCUCACUACUUAUAGUCCAUGUAGAUCCACUCAUUUUAAUCCUAACUCGUCACCAUUCAUACCCCUGUCCCGGGCCCGAACGUCGACUAAGGACGCAGUAUACUCGAGAUAUACCCGUAGAUAAUUGGACACAGUAUACUUGCGUAUACCCGUAGAUAAUUGGUCGAGGGAUUCACCCAACGACGUUAUCGUAGUUAGAUUCACGCGUCGAGGGAUUCACCCAACGACGUAACUACAUUUAGAUUCAUGGAUUCACGAGAAAAUGAUUCACGCAAGUCACCACUCGAACGGCUAGUGCGAUAAAGUACGCAUUGCUCACUUCGAUGGAUCAAAAACUAGUUUUGCCAAUUAUCACAUAUUGAGUCAAGGAAGCACUUUAACCAAGUAAGCAUAGAACAGGCAGGGACACUCACCAAGAGUGAAGUUCAGAUGUCAAAUUGGAAAUCGAAUUCCGCGUCCUCGCAAUAUCCUAGAAUAUCAAAUGUUGAAACUAUGAGUUUUUAUUCAGUUUUUAAGCUUAUACACAUCGAGGUUUAUCUAAUAUAUUACUAGUUUACUUUCCCACAGUAAAUUCAAAAAUCUAUUUAGGUUGAAACUUGACAAAAGUAGAAGAAAUGUUUCUUAUAGUUUUCCUUGAGGUACUUUUCCUUAUAGAAGGGUAACUAGUAUUAUUCUCUAGACAUAAGUCGACGAACCUCUUAACAUCAAAGCUAGAGGGAUACUUUGAAAAUUUCUUUAAAGCUACGGUUCUUGCAAAAAUUAUCACUAAAAACUAUUUUAUCUAAAAUAAAGUUUCUUGCCGAGCAAGUCCCUACAUUUUUAAUUAAAGUUAUUAAAACUCUUAUUUUGGAACUUUUCCUACUGACAACUAUCCUAGGGCAAAUCUUUAAGAAAGAAAAGGGAUUAAAAUAAGACUUAGGAUUUUCAAAAGCUAGAGAAAUUAUUUUCAAUUAAGGUUGUUUAAAACUUGUACUUUUGAAUUUUUCCUAUAGUCAACUAGCCAAAAAACAAUUCCUAGGGAAAAGAAAGGAAGUAAAACAAAGCCUAGAGUUUUUGAAACUAGUGAAAUCAUUUUCUAAAAAUAAUAAGGCUAGUUUAAGCUUAAAGGAAGAAAUAUCGAGUUGACAAGGUUUAGAAAAUCCCUACAUGAAAUUUUCAAUUUUAACAUACCGUGCUAAGUUUUAUCGCACCAUACUAGGGCGAAAAUAUAUUUAAAUAGCUUGCUUAACACUUUCUCAAGUUCACCAGACCAAAACGGAUUUCUUACGAUUCCGAUUCACACACACGCAAUAUUUUAGAUUCGUCAAUAUAGCAAACUCACAUUUCAAAUAGAAGUCUCACUAGGGCUUCGUCAAUCAUUAGCCCUAAGUUUCAAUAGAUUCAUUUCAAAUCGAGAAUAAAAUAAAUGACCAAGGCUUCGUCAAUCAUUAGCACUUGGUUUUUGGCAAGUUCAUAUCACAUCUCAACUUAAUCGAAAUAAACAUAUUAGCUCCAAACAAGUCCAGCAGUUCAAUUUCACCACACUUAAACACUUAUAUAAAAUUAUUCAAAUGGCUAAGGCUUCAUCAAUCAUUAGCCUUUGACAACCCUCAAUCACAUCCAACCACAAUUAAAUCAGGAAUUCAAUUCACAAACGAGCUAAGUGUUUGAUCCAAGUCAAGAUUUCAAUUUCAUGAAGGACAGGACAUUUCAGCAGGACAGCCUACUUUGAGGAGUCAUGAACAGCAGUACACAUGGAGGAAAAAUAUGAAAUUUCAACAGAACAAAGGCCCAUAAUUCUAGUUUCAAAUGCCACUGACGGCGCCUUAAAUGGAUUUUCGUACACCAAGAUAUAAGCAUUUUGCCUAGACUGGUCAGUGAAAUCCGAAAAUCUGGAAACUCUUGUUCACUUGUGAAAAGCUCCUUUUUCUCUUUUAAAACCAUAAGACUUUUAUUCAAACCAUCCAUACAUCUCUUAUAGAAUUCUAACACCACAUUUUCCAGGCAUUUUCAACCAUUAUGUUUUCAAAGAAAAUUUCACAAUCAAGCUGGAAAUUCUAACUCAAACUUUGGCAACCACAAGGAAAAUUUCCAGCAUUUGUAUACCCACAUUUUUGGUUAAAUCUUUCGAGAUAUCAAAUGUUUCAUUGCUAAACAGCUUUCACAGCUUAACGUGUACAUUUUGUCAUGCAUUUCGGGCUCAUAAUACCCCAAGGAAAAAUUCCAGGAACCACUUAAAAAAAUUCAGUUCAACCUUUCGGUCAUUAAAGUUUCCAGCACUUCGUUGUUUAUAAAUUCAAAAUUUCCUUGGCUAAGACAUGCUAUUAAACUCUCAACUUCAUCAUACAAUUACGUGGCUAGACCGUUAGCAUUUCCAGCUCAAAAAUUAAGUUCGACUAACCACACCAGUCAUCAAAUUUCUAAGAAAGAAUCUUCAGCUAGCCUCGGAAUAAACAUGCAUGCGGCAGGAUACAUUUUGGUUUUAUUUUUCUGGUUCAAACUAACUAAUUAACUACAUGCGUAGCUUAAUCAUCUUGUAAUUUACUAGUUAGUCAUGGUUAGAGGCUCAAAACAGCAAAAUUAUACCACAUGAAACUACAUUAUUCAAGACAACUCUCGGCAGAAAUUUUUUCAUCAAAACAGAAUUUUCCUAAGCUCCUUAGUUCAUCAUCCAAUUUUUUGCUUUAGCUAAAACCUUGUAUUUUGCACUUAAGUCUUACAUGCACAAUUGCUGAAUUAGCUAUCAUUUCCAGACCGGAAAUCAGUUCGGCAACAGCAAUAUACGUUCAUAGCUCCAGAAUUUUGUGCAACUACUCUCGGAUGAGCUUGCAUGUGAUGGAUUCUGUUUCAUUUUUAUUUUCUAGCGUAAUCCAGGCUAAUUAAUUUCAUGCAUGACUUUAUCAUCUUGUUUUCAGGUGAUUAAACACAAAUACAAACUCUGAUCAUCCCACAAUUAACGAAUUAAGGCUACAAAAUCCCAGCUCAAGCUCACGGCAGUACCAUUUUUUCCCAAAACAGAUUUUUCUAAUGCUUUUGAUUCAUCAUCAGACUGCACAGCUCAACAUGCAUGUCCAUAGAUAGUUCAAUCUAUCUCUAAUCAACUUAUUCUAGCUCAGUAAUUACCUCACAAAGAAGAUUAUACGCACGGCAGAAAGCUGAAGUUUCUCCCCUCUUGGUUCACACGCGAUUGAACGUGAUGUUCCUGGUUGCAGAGGUCGCUGCUGUGAUGGUGUUGGGUUGUGAGGAUGUUUUGUAGCUGAUUGAGGUUGCAACCAGGGAUGAAGCUCACGUAGUCUCCCUCUUUUCUCCCCUUUAGCUUACGGACAGAACAGAGGAAGGUUCAGCUCGCGGUUUCUUUUCUUUCCUUUCGGACGCACGGAUGCAGCUCCCUCUCUAGCUCUCUCGUCGAUGAUAACAAGGCAGAGGAUAAUGUUGUUGUGGUCUUGAGGUGUGGUGGUGUGGAGAGGAAAUGGAAAUGAGC